GACGAACGCUGGCGGCGUGCUUAACACAUGCAAGUCGAACGGAAAGGCCCUGCUUUUGUGGGGUGCUCGAGUGGCGAACGGGUGAGUAACACGUGAGUAACCUGCCCUUGACUUUGGGAUAACUUCAGGAAACUGGGGCUAAUACCGGAUAGGAGCUCCUGCUGCAUGGUGGGGGUUGGAAAGUUUCGGCGGUUGGGGAUGGACUCGCGGCUUAUCAGCUUGUUGGUGGGGUAGUGGCUUACCAAGGCUUUGACGGGUAGCCGGGCCGAGAGGGUGACCGGCCACAUUGGGACUGAGAUACGGCCCAGACUCCUACGGGAGGCAGCAGUGGGGAAUAUUGCACAAUGGGCGGAAGCCUGAUGCAGCAACGCCGCGUGCGGGAUGACGGCCUUCGGGUUGUAAACCGCUUUCGCCUGUGACGAAGCGUGAGUGACGGUAAUGGGUAAAGAAGCACCGGCUAACUACGUG
rnacentral:rRNA from 1 species